UUGUGGAAUCAUGGGAUCAAGGAAGCACAGGAUUGUGGGAUUGUGGUUGGAACUGCAUGAUCUUGAAGGUCUCUUCCAACCCAAGCCGUUCUAUGGGAUCACAACAUCAAGGGAUGGUGCAAUCACAGAAUGAAGGAAUCAUGGAACCAUGGAAUUGUGGGAUCACAAAAUCAUGUAAUCAUGG